GUAAUAUAUAAAUUUUUUGAGGCCCUUCUAAUUCGGAGGCCCAUGGCCGUCGCCCUCGGCGCCCAGGCCCAGGGCCGGCCCUGUUUGUAUUAGUUGUAUCCAUCAUGUACCACUUUGUAUUGUCUCUUAGUUUAUUAUUAUCAAUCUUGUAUAAAUACCUCAUAUAUGGAGAUGAAUAAAUCAAGCAAAACAUCAUUCAAUCAUCAAAUCUUUCAAUAAUUCUACUUUAACUCAAAACAUUUAUCACAAUGAAAUCUUGUAAAAUAUACUGAAAACAGUGAGAAAAAACUUCGAUUUUAAUUAAUGGUUUCUUAUUCAGAACAAUGACCUUAUAAAGGAUGCAAAAUGUGGUACACAUAGAUGCUAUGAUUAUUUACUUUGUUUAUCAAAUAUUUUGUCACAUCAUUAAUAUGUUGUUUGUUACCAUGUUGAUUUGUUUUAUUAGCAUGCAGCAUAUCCUGAUAUGGAUGCAUCUACCUCAUUCUUUGGUGUUUAUGAUGGGCAUGGAGGCAAUAUAGUUGCUAAGUUUUGUGCGAAGUAUCUUCACCGACAAGUCCUCAAGAAUGAAGCAUAUGUGGCCGGAGAUAUAGGAACUGCUGUUCAAAAA